rnacentral:misc_RNA from 1 species
UGUGGGAGCGGGCUUGCCCGCGAUGACGGCAGCACAUUCACCAUUGAUGUGUCAGACAGGUCGCUAUCGCGGGCAAGCCCGCUCCCACA